AACUCAGGAACCUAAGGCAAACACGCAAAGUACUGAUAGGUUUUUUCAAUUGGUUUUAUUUUUUGCCUAAUUGAUGAUAUUGUUUGUUUUUUUUGCCCCUGUUUUAUUUAUUUUUCUGCAGGCUGAGGUUGAUGCUGCUGUCCAGCUGCUACUGAAGCUGGAAAUGGGCUACAAACAGAUGACUGGUCAGGACUACAAAGCAGGAUGUCCGUCAGUGAACGAUGCUGCGCCGAACAACAGAACGGCAGCAGAUUUGGCCGGUGAGGACGACACGGUGGAUCCAUGGACCGUUUCAACCACCAACGCCAAGGGAGCCGAUUAUGACAAAUUAAUAGUGAGGUUUGGGAGCAGUAAAAUCGACCAGGAGCUGGUGGAUAAAGAAGGUUUGUGGACAGAAGCCCCAUUGCUUCCUACGAAGAGGAGUUUUCUUCUCACACACAUGUUUGUUCUUCCAAUUAAUAACUGACAGAUUAAUCAUAUUAAUGCAAAACUUUUCACAUUAUAACUAUGAACUUCAGUAUGCUCUAUUUUAGUGCAUAAUUUAGCAUAAUGUUUUACAUCUUUUGGAAAUAAAAAUGAUUUCCGAUU